GAGCGGCGGACGGGUGAGUAACGCGUGGGUAACCUGCCUCAUACAGGGGGAUAACAGUUAGAAAUGGCUGCUAAUACCGCAUAAGACCACAGCACCGCAUGGUGCAGGGGUAAAAACUCCGGUGGUAUGAGAUGGACCCGCGUCUGAUUAGCUAGUUGGUGAGGUAACGGCCCACCAAGGCGACGAUCGGUAGCCGGACUGAGAGGUUGAACGGCCACAUUGGGACUGAGACACGGCCCAGACUCCUACGGGAGGCAGCAGUGGGGAAUAUUGCACAAUGGGGGAAACCCUGAUGCAGCGACGCCGCGUGGAGGAAGAAGGUCUUCGGAUUGUAAACUCCUGUUGUUGAGGAAGAUAAUGACGGUACUCAACAAGGAAGUGACGGCUAACUACGUGCCAGCAGCCGCGGUAAAACGUAGGUCACAAGCGUUGUCCGGAAUUACUGGGUGUAAAGGGAGCGCAGGCGG
rnacentral:rRNA from 1 species